GUUGGGGGCUCCCUGGGGAGGGGAGACCCAGAACUGUGGGGUUACUGCAGGGGGCAGAACCCUGAUGUAGAGGGGCACUGGGGUCUGGGAGGGACAUUAGGGGCAGGUGAGACACUAGCAUGCAGAGGGUGCUCUGGGGCAGCAGAGCUAAUUUCCAGGAUGACCGACAGGAGGUGCCAUGCUGGUGAGUCAUCAGCUUGCUACACCGCCCCUUCCAGAGGGACUUGAGGCCAUGGCAGGCCACUGCAAAAGUUCCACAAGGGGUGUUACUCCAGGCAAGUCACUAGAGACUUUUUGGACUAUAGGGACCAUGUUCCAAACUGAAGGGGCAUAGCUAGGAAGUAGUUCAGGGCAGUGGACUUAAACCCUCUGCAUGGAGGAUCCUGCCAGCAUUGCUUCACACGGGGCCCUGGGCCACACCUCCUUAAGGGCUUAGGCCCAGAUGCAAGUGGAGGUCAGAAGGUUCCUGGCCUAAGAUAAGGAAGCAGGCACCCCUAUCAGGGAAGCAAGUGGCCAAAAGAUCAACUGCGCAGGAAGAGAUUUCUUGCUGACUCAAGCUUGAUGCGUGUCUGACUAGGGGCUCAGUUCAACAAAGCAUUUAUGAAGAGAGCCUGAGGUUAAAAAUCAUUCUUGGAUUUAGAAAUGAAGUCAACUGAGAAACUCCAGUCUGAAUUACCUUUCCCAGUGAAGUGAACAGCAUCUUAUUCUCACAAUUGACUACUCAAUUUUAUUUUUUUAAAAUGAAGUGUUUAAAAACAACAUUCAAUUUUUAGUUUUGAGUUGUGUUGAAUGAAACACUUUGACCUAUUUCAUUUGACUAAAAUAUAACUAUUCAAUUUUUUUUUAUUCACCAAAAUCUCCCCAAAAUUCUUAGGUUGAUCUCAAACUAAUGUGUUUAAAUUUUCCAGAACUAUCAACAAAACAAAUCUGUUUGCACAACUAUAUUUACAUUUAGUAGGAAUAA